rnacentral:rRNA from 1 species
UAAAAUAAUUAAGGGCACACAAAGGAUGCCUAGGUAGUAAGAGCCGAUGAAGGACGUGGUAAGCUGCGAUAAGCCUAGAUAAGUUGCAAUCGAACGUAAGAGUCUAGGAUUUCCGAAUGGAGCAAUCUAUUAAGAUGGAGUCUUAAUACGAAAGAGGGAACCGCGUGAACUGAAACAUCUAAGUAACGCGAGGAAAAGAAAGUAAAAACGAUACCCAAAGUAGCGGCGAGCGAAAUGGGUCAAGCCUAAACCUUAAAUAUGUCAAGGAUACAGCCGUUGUAUUUAAGGGGUUGAGGGACAGAGUAGUGAAGAACUGUAAGAUAUUCAAUAUAGUGUAUUGAUGAAUUGGAAUUGUCUGGAAAGGCGAACCGUAGAAGGUGAAAGUCCUGUACAAGUAAAUCCUUACACAUAUAACUCUGCUCCCAAGUAACAUGGAACACGAGGAAUUCUGUGUGAAUCUGUGAGGACCAUAUCUCAUAAGGCUAAAUACUCUUACUAACCGAUAGCGCAUAGUACCGUGAGGGAAAGGUGAAAAGAACCCCUGGAGGGGAGUGAAAUAGAACCUGAAAUUGUGUGCUUACAAGCGGUCAGAGCCCAUUUGGGUGAUGGCGUGCCUUUUGGAGAAUGAUCCUGCGAGUUACGUUAAACGGCGAGGUUAAGUAUAACGGAGCCGAAGGGAAACCAAGUCUUAAUAGGGCGAUUUAGUCGUUUGGCGUAGACGCGAAACCUGGUGAUCUAAACCUGUCCAGGAUGAAGCUGUGGUAAGACACAGUGGAGGUCCUAACCCACCGCCGUUGAAAAGUUGGGGGAUGAGGUAGGUUUAGGGGUGAAAAGCCAAUCGAACCAGGAGAUAGCUCGUUCUCUCCGAAAUGUAUCUAGGUACAGCCUUGAGUGUUCAAUUAUGGGGGUAGAGCACUGAAUGAUCUAGGGGGCGUAUUGCUUACUGAAAUCAAUCAAACUCCGAAUACCAUAAUUUAUAGCUCAGGAGUGAGACUAUGGGAGUUAACUUCCAUUGUCGAAAGGGAAACAACCCAGACCACCAGCUAAGGUCCCUAAUUAUAACUAAGUGGGAAAGGAGGUGGAGAUUCACAAACAACUAGGAGGUUGGCUUAGAAGCAGCCAUACCUUUAAAGAGUGCGUAAUAGCUCACUAGUCGAGAGUCUCUGCGCCGACAAUGUAACGGGGCUAAGUUAUAAACCGAAGCUGUGGAAUCCGUAAGGAUUGGUAGGAGAGCGUUCUGUAGGCCGUUGAAGGAGAAGGGUAACCGACUCUGGAGGUAUCAGAAGUGAGAAUGCAGGAAUAAGUAGCGAGAAAGGGGGCGAGAAUCCCCCUCGCCGGAAGACCAAGGUUUUCAGGGUAAAGCUUGUCUUCCCUGAGUAAGCCGGGACCUAAGCCCAGGCUAUAAUGCGUAGGCGAAUGGAAAACAGAUUAAUAUUUCUGUGCCAGUCAUAUAUUGUGAUGGAGGGACGCAGAAGGGUAUGCGCGCGGACGAACGGAAGUGUCCGUAGAAGUAUGUAGGAUGACUCGAUAGGAAAAUCCAUUGAGUUAUAUCUGAGGUAUGAUAUACAGUCGUAAGAUGAAUGCGCAAAUCCCACGCUGCCAAGAAAAGCUUCUAACGUUAAUAUUUGACUGCCCGUACUGCAAACCGACACAGGUGGUCAGGAUGAGAAAUCUAAGGCGGACAGGCUAACUCUCGUUAAGGAACUCUGCAAAAUAACCUCGUAACUUCGGGAGAAGAGGAGCCCUUGAGGGUCAGUAUCCACGCGAUACAAAGCGCUCGAGGGUCGCAGUGAAGAGGCUCAAGCAACUGUUUAACAAAAACACAGGUCUAUGCUAAGCUGGAAGGCGAUGUAUAUGGGCUGACACCUGCCCAGUGCUGGAAGGUUAAGAGGAGGAGUGAGAGCUCCGAAUUGAAGCCCCAGUGAACGGCGGCCGUAACUAUAACGGUCCUAAGGUAGCGAAAUUCCUUGUC